rnacentral:rRNA from 1 species
UGCAGCCGCGGUAAUUCCAGCUCCAAUAGCGUAUAUUAGAGUUGUUGCAGUUAAAAAGCUCGUAGUUGAAUUUCGGGGUUCUACCGUUGGUCGGGCUUUGUCUGUACUGGCGUGUAGAAUUUCUACCUUCUGGGGAACCGUCAUGUUAUUAAUUUAACGUGGUGGGAAACCAGGACCUUUACCUUGAAAAAAUUAGAGUGUUCAAAGCAGGCUUAUGUCUGAAUACAUUAGCAUGGAAUAAUAAAAUAGGACGGUGGUCCUGUUUUGUUGGUUUCUGAAUCACCGUAAUGAUUAAUAGGGAUAGUUGGGGGCAUUAGUAUUCAAUUGUCAGAGGUGAAAUUCUUGGAUUUAU